rnacentral:tRNA from 1 species
AAAACAUUAGUAAAGUAUAUUACACCACCUUGUCAAGGUGGAAUCGCAGGUUGAACUCCUGCAUGUUUUG